ACGACUCUUGGCAACGGAUAUCUCGGCUCUCGCAUCGAUGAAGAACGUAGAGAAAUGUGAUACCUAGUGCGAAUAGAAGAAUACCGCGAACAAUCAAGUCUUGGAACACAAGUUGCGCCCGAGGCCACUCGGCCGAUGGCACGCCUGCCUGGGUGUCACGCCAAAACAUGCUCCCAACCACCCUCUUCGGGAAUUGGGAUGCGACAUAUGGUCCCUCAUCCUGCAAGGGGCGAUGGGCCGAAGUUCGUGCUGCCGGCGUACCGCGCCGGACACAGCGCAUGGUGUGCGUUCUCGCUUUAUCAAUGCAGUGCAUCCGAUGCGUAGAUGGCAUCAUGGCCUCGAAACGACCAAGCGAUUGAAGUGCACGUUGUUUCGACCGUGACCCCAGGUCAGGCGGGACUACCAGCUGAGUUUAAGCAUAUAAAUAAGCGGAGGAGAAGAAACUAACAAGGAUUCCCCUAGUAACGACGAGGGAACCGCGAACAAGCCAGCUUGAGAAUCGGGCGGUUGUGCCAUUCGAAUUGUAGUCUGGAGAGGCGUCCUCAGUGACAGACCGGGCAAAGGGGCGUCUAGCAGGGUGAGAGACCCGUCUGGCCCGGACCCUGUCGCCCCACGAGGCGUCGUCAAUGAGUCAGGUUGUUGGGGAAUGUAUCCCAAAUCGGGCGGUAUACUCCAUGCAAGGCUAAAUACAGGCGAGAGACCGAUAGCGAACAAGUACCGUGAGGGAAAGAUGAAAAGGACUUUGAAAAGAGAGUCAAAGAGUGCUUGAAAUUCCCAAGAGGGAAGUGGAGUGGGGGCCGGCGAUGCGCUCCGGCCGUAUGGGGAACGACUCUUGCUGGUCCGUCGCUCGGCUCGGGGUGUGGACUAUUGUCGGCCGCGUCGGCGGCCAAAGCCCGGGGGCCCUAGGUUUUUCCGGUUGCCGUCGUUGACAUGGCCGGUACCCACGCGCCAAAAGGCGUGUCCGUCGGGGCACUGCACUGCAACGGUCUGCGGGCUCCCCUUCCGACCCGUCUUGAAACACGGACCAAGGAGUCUGACAUGCAUGCGAGUCGACGAGUUUUGUAACCUGGGAUGCGCAAGGAAGCUGACGAGUGGGAGGCCCUCCAGGGCCGCACCGCUGGCCGACCCUGAUCUCCUGUGAAGGGUUCGAGGUGGAGCACGCCUGUCGGGACCUGAAAGAUGGUGAACUAUGCCUGAGCGGGGUGAAGCCAAAGGAAACCUUGGUGGAGGCUCGAAUCGAUACUGAUGUGCAAAUCGUUCGUCUGACUUGGGUAUAGAAGCGAAAGACUAAUCGAACCAUCUAGUAGCUGGUUCCCUCCGAAGUUUCCCUCAGGAUAGCUGGAGCCCAUUACGAGUUCUAUCAGGUAAAGCCAAUGAUUACAGGCAUUGGGGAUGCAACGUCCUCGACCUAUUCUCAAACUUUAAAUUGGUAGGAUGGCUCGGGUGCUUCAGUGAGCCGUGCCACAGAAUCGGGUGCUCUAAGUGGGCCAUUUUUGGUAACCAGAACUGGCGAUGCGGGAUGAACCGGAAGCCAGGUUAUGGUGCCCAACUGCGCUUUAACCUAGAACCCACAAAGGGUGUUGGUCGAUUAAGACAGCAGGACGGUGGUCAUGGAAGUCGAAAUCCGCUAAGGAGUGAGUAAAAACUCACCUGCCGAAUCAACUAGCCCCGGAAAUUGAUGGCGCUGAAGCGCGCGACCCACAGCCGGCCAUCUGGGCGAGCGCCAUGCCCCGAUGAGUAGGAGGGCGCGGCGGCCGCUGCAAAACCCGGGGAGCGAGCCCGGGCGGAGCGGCUGUCGGUGCAGAUCUUGGUGGUAGUAGCAAAUAUUCAAAUGAGUACUUUGAAGGUCAAAGAGGAGAAUGGUUCCAUGUGAACGACACUUGCACAUUGGUAAAACGAUUCUAAGGGACGGGGUAACCCCGGCAGAUAGCGCGAUCACGCGAAUCCCCCGAAAGGGAAUCGGGCUAAAAUUUCCCGAGCCAGGAUGUGGCGGUUGACGGCGACGUUAGGAAGUCCGAAGACGCCGGCGGGGGCCUCAGGAAGAGUUAUCUUUUCUGCUUAAUGGCCUGCCAACCCUGGAAAUGGUUCAGCCGGAGGUAGGGUCCAGUGGCCGGAAGAGCACCGCACGUCGUGCGGUGUCCGGUGUACCCCCGGCGGCCCAUGAAAAUCCGGAGGACCGAGUACUGUUCACGCCCAGUCAUACUCAUAACCACAUCAGGUCUUCACGGUGAACAUCCUCUGGCUAAUGGAACAAUGUAGGUAAGGGAAGUCGGCAAAACGGAUCCGUAACUUCAGGAAAAGGAUUAGCUCUAAGGAUUGGGCUCGGGGGUCUCGGCGCCGAACCCGUCGGCUGUCGGCGGAUUGCUCGAGCUGCUCACACGGCUAGAGCGGGUCACCGUAUGCCGUGUGGGGGACGGACCGGGAAUCGCCCCUUCGAGGGCUUUACCAGAGCAUGAAACAGUCGACUCAGAGCUGGUAUAGACAAGGGGAAUCUGUAUGUUUAAUUAAAACAAAGCAUUGCGAUGGUCCUCGCGGAUGCUGACGCAAUGUGAUUUCGGCCCAGUGCUCUGAAUGUCAAAGUGAAGAAAUUCAACCAAGCACGGGUAAACGGCGGGAGUAACUAUGACUCUUAAGGUAGCCAAAUGCCUCGUUAUCUAAUUAUUGACGCGAAUGAAUGAAUUAACGAGAUUCCCACUAUCCCUGUCUACUAUCCAGCGAAACCAUAGCCAAGGGAACGUGCUUGGCGAAAUAACCGGGGAAAGAAGACCCUGUUGAGAUUGACUCUAGUGCGACUUUGUGAAUUGACUUGAGAGGUGUAGGAUAGGUGGGGAGUUUUGCUGGGGCGGCAAAUUUGUUAAAAGAGAAUGCAGGUGUCCUGAGAUGAGCUCAACGAGAACAGAAAUAUCGUGUGGAAAAAAGGGUAAAAGCUCGUUUGAUUUUGAUUUCCAAUAUGAAUACGACCCGUGAAAGCGUGGCCUAUCGAUCCUUUAGAUCUUCGAAGUUUAAAUCUAGAGGUGUCAGAAAGGUUACCACACGGAUAACUGGCUUGUGGCAGCCAAGCGUUCAUAGCGAGGUUUCUUUUUGAUUCUUCGAUGCGAGCUCUUCCUAUCAUUGUGAAGCAGAAUUCACCAAGUGUUGGAUUGUUCACCCAACAAUAGGGAACGUGAGCUGGGUUUAGACCGUUGUGAGACAUGUUAGUUUUACCCUACUGAUGACAGUGUCGCGAUAGUAAUUCAACCUAGUAUGAGAGGAACCGUUGAUUCACACAAUUGGUUAUCGCGCUUGGUUGAAAAGCCAGUGGCGCGAAGCUACCGUGUGCCAGAAUAUGACUGAACGCCUCUAAAUCAGAAUUCAAGCUAGCAUAGGACGCAUGUGCCCGCCGAUCGCCCUGAACCACGUUAGGGGCGCUUGCGCCCCCAAGGGCCCGUGCCAUUGGCUAAGCCGGUCCCACCGACGUGUCGUGAUCGACCGCCUCGAAGCUUCCUUCCCAACGGGCGGUAGGCUGAAUCCUUUGGAGACGAAUUAAAUAUGCGACGGGGCAUUGUAAGUGGCAGAGUGGCCUUGCUGGCACGAUCCACUGAGAUCCAGCCCCAUGUCGCAUGGAUUUGUCCCUCCCCCACACC
rnacentral:rRNA from 1 species